rnacentral:tRNA from 1 species
UCCCCUGGCAGUCCAGUGGUGAGGACUCGGCGUUUUCACUGUGGUGGCCCAGGUUCAACCCCUGGUUGGGGAA